UACGGAGGGUGCAAGCGUUAAUCGGAAUUACUGGGCGUAAAGCGUGCGCAGGCGGUUUGUUAAGUCCGUUGUGAAAGCCCCGAGCUCAACUUGGGAAUUGCAGUGGAUACUGGCAGGCUGGAGUACGGUAGAGGAAGGUGGAAUUCCCGGUGUAGCAGUGAAAUGCGUAGAUAUCGGGAGGAACACCGGUGGCGAAGGCGGCUCACUGGCUCAUUACUGACGCUCAGGCGCGAUAGCGUGGGGAUCAAACAGA
rnacentral:rRNA from 1 species